CAAUAGCGUAUAUUUAAGUUGUUGCAGUUAAAAAGCUCGUAGUUGGAUUUCGGUUAAGAGCGACCGGUCCGCCGUUUGGUGUGCACUGGUUGGUUUUAACUUCCUGUAGAGGACGUGCUCUGGGUUUAACGACCUGGACUCGGAGUCUACGUGGUUACUUUGAAAAAAUUAGAGUGUUCAAAGCGGGCUUACGCUUGAAUAUUUCAGCAUGGAAUAACACUAUAGGACUCCUGUCCUAUUUCGUUGGUCUCGGGACGGGAGUAAUGAUUAAGAGGAACAGUUGGGGGCAUUCGUAUUUCAUUGUCAGAGGUGAAAUUCUUGGAUUUAUGAAAGACGAACUUCUGCGAAAGCAUUUGCCAAGGAUGUUUCCAUUAA
rnacentral:rRNA from 1 species